rnacentral:rRNA from 1 species
GACGUAGGGCGCGAGCGUUGUCCGGAAUCAUUGGGCGUAAAGAGCGUGUAGGCGGUUUGUCGCGUCUGCUGUGAAAUCUCAAGGCUCAACCUUGAGCUUGCAGUGGGUACGGGCAGACUAGAGUGUGGUAGGGGAGACUGGAAUUCCUGGUGUAGCGGUGGAAUGCGCAGAUAUCAGGAGGAACACCGGUGGCGAAGGCGGGUCUCUGGGCG